rnacentral:rRNA from 1 species
AGUGAACGCUGGCGGUAGGCCUAACACAUGCCAGUCGAACGGCAGCACAGUAAGAGCUUGCUCUUACGGGUGGCGAGUGGCGGACGGGUGAGGAAUACAUCGGAAUCUACUUUUUCGUGGGGGAUAACGUAGGGAAACUUACGCUAAUACCGCAUACGACCUACGGGUGAAAGCAGGGGAUCUUCGGACCUUGCGCGAUUGAAUGAGCCGAUGUCGGAUUAGCUGGUUGGCGGGGUAAAGGCCCACCAAGGCGACGAUCCGUAGCUGGUCUGAGAGGAUGAUCAGCCACACUGGAACUGAGACACGGUCCAGACUCCUACGGGAGGCAGCAGUGGGGAAUAUUGGACAAUGGGCGCAAGCCUGAUCCAGCCAUACUGCGUGGGUGAAGAAGGCCUUCGGGUUGUAAAGCCCUUUUGUUGGGAAAGAAAAGCAGCAGGUUAAUACCCCGCUGUUCUGACGGUACCCAAAGAAUAAGCACCGGCUAACUUCGUG